rnacentral:rRNA from 1 species
GACGUAGGAUGCGAGCGUUGUCCGGAUUUAUUGGGCGUAAAGAGUUCGUAGGCGGUUCGUUAAGUCUGAUGUUAAAGACUGGGGCUCAACCCCGGGAGUGCAUUGGAUACUGGCGGACUGGAGUGCGGUAGAGGUUAGUGGAAUUCCUGGUGUAGCGGUGAAAUGCGUAGCUAUCAGGAGGAACACCGGUGGUGUAGACGGCUUUCUGGGACGGUACUGACGCUGAGACGCGAAAGCGUGGGGAGCGAACAGG